ensembl:lncRNA
GCUGGAGAUCACUCUGUACCUGUGGCUUUCUGAAGCUUGUGUGGAAACUGCUGUGUUUCCUGUAAAACAUUAAUUCCUUGUCCUGAACUGCGGAAAUAUCCCCCAAUUUUUGUCAGUGCAAAGCUAUGCCUAAAGAUUAAACCUGCGCGUACCUUGCACGUCAAGGAAAACAUCACUUGACAUCAGCACCAGCAAUGUGACCUCCAAGAAAUCCCACAAGCAGAGUAGGAAUAGCAACAUCUUGCAUCAGGCCUUUGGAAGGGACUGGAGGAUACACGUGUAGGAUGCAUAGCAGUGACGUGCUGCUGACCUCGUAGCCCUGGGGUGUUGAAGCUGGUGGCCAGGAUUGGCAGGGCCUUUCCCAUGUGGAGGGCUAAUUCUGUACCCUCAGGACCGGAUGAGGUAUCUCGUCAGCAGCACCCGGCUAGGGAAGGGAAGAGCAUUGUGUGGGCUGUUGCUUUUUUUUAAGAACCACUUAUGACCCUGGGAGGAGCAUGUGAGCAAAAGGCAUUGCUGCAAGGACGGGUGGAAACUGGGGAAAACUCCCAGCUCCUGAAUCUCACAGGGAAAUCCCUAGAAAGCUCCCUGGCGCCCCCUUUCUCAACAUACAAACUCCUAUGCAGUGGGAAUCAGCUGGGACCAUAAGCACUGGUGAGCUCCAUGCCACCCUUGCUCCUUGAGGUGAAGAACAGCCCCAUGACCUCGCAGUGGUUGCUGCCCACGCCGUCAGCCAGCACAGGAAGCAUAUCCCCCAAAUCCCCAGUCUCUCCCCUUCUUCUGGGUACUCAGCAGCCCAGGAAGGGCUGGUGACAAAUUCUCAUGGAGGCUGAGAUGCUUCAGCUGUGAGCUCAGUGAGUGACUAACUCGUUCAUCUCCUCUGGGAGCUGCACUGAGCUGUUGGGAAGCAGCAGAGCCCAGCCAGCCUCCUCUGCCUGUUCCAGGCGCCUUCCCCAUUGCUCUCCUGAAGGAGGGGAAAAAAAAAAACCCACAACAAAAGCUUGGAAAACUGAGCUGUGGUGAUAUGCAAUCACUCAGGGAUGGCACAGGAAGAAAGCAGGCUCGGAAUGCCUUAAUUUUGGAGAGGCACGGG